ensembl:lncRNA
AAAACGAGAAGAAUCAAGACAAUUUCUUUUCUUUAGCUACAUAGAAAUGAUUUCUGUUUUCAAACUUCAUGAUUUUAAAGGAAAGACUGUCCUGGGGCAGAAGGGAAUCCUGCCAACCAGCAUACCAAGAAUUCUGAGACAGACUCAGGUCUUUUUUGCUAAUCUGGUUUGAGUCACUUAGCCUCCAAUUCUUCAUGAGGAGUGUCAACCACUUCAUGAAAAUAACAUGGAUUAACCAAGCCAUUGCUCUAGAAACCAGAGUCCCAGGUGUCUGGGCCUCACAAGGUACUUAGGCUGAGCUGGGAAAUAACUGAGUGCUGUCUUCCUGAGACAGAAGAGUGUCUGACUGACCAAUGCAUGCAUCGUUCUCGGAGGCUAGCAAGGCUUGUAUGAUGCUAAAUGAAUUUAAUGAUUUAAUAGGCUGAAUCCAUAAUAUAUGUAAUUAAAAAAAUGGAUACAGCGGGCACUGUUACCUUAAGUUGAACAGAAGAACAGCUCUGGCUCCUCUAUAUACAUUCAUUUCAACAGUUAAUGCUUUUCCAAUCAAUGCAGAUUAACCAGGAUGUAGAGUCCACAUUUCAUGGUGCUAGCUAGCUUUUGGGUAAAGACUGGCAGGGCAAGAGGUGGGGCAGGGGAGGCAACAAAUGGAGGACAUGUAUAAGGGGAAAUACGAAGCAGAAAUGUGAUUGCAACCCAGCAGUCACAUGUUGACAGUAAAUAGGAAAGACGACCUUCUAAAAGGUAAUAAAAUAUGGGAAACAGAAAACUGGAGGUUAUAGUAAAACAAAAAUGAAAAAUCAUCAGUAGUCCUUAUCUGUGGGACAUAUGUUCCAAGACCCCCAAAGGAUGCCUUGAAACGCGGAUAGUACCCAACUCUAUAUAUACUAUGGCUUUUCCUAUACAUACAUAUCUAUGAUACAGUUCAAUUUAUAAAUUAGGCAGAGUAAGCGAUUAACAACAAUAAUAAUGCAACUGUUAUACUGUAAUAAAAGUUACUGUAGAUUUUAGCAGUCUCAGCAUAAGAUGUUUUUUCUUUCCUUAGUGAGUCUAGAACUUUCACCUUUUCACUUAAAGGAAGCACUUUAUGACUUCUCUUUGGCAUAUCCAAAUCACCAGCAUCACAACUUUUGUGCUAUGGGGCUAUUAUUAAGUAAAAUAAGAGUUACUUGAACACAAGCACUGUGACAUUGCCACAGUCGAUCUGAUAACUGAGAGGGCUACUAAGUGACUAAUGGGCAGACAGCAUAUAUAACGUGGACCUGCUGGACAAAGGGAUGAUUCAUGUUCUGGGUCGGAGGGCAUGAGAUUUCAUCACGCUACUGAGAAUGGUGUGUAACUUAAAACUUAUGAGUUGUUUAUUUCUGGAAUUUUCCAUUUAAUAUUUUCAGACCUUGGUCACCUGGAGGUAACUGAAACCACAGACAGUAAAACCACAGAUAAGAGGAGACUACUGUAUCAGAAUAAAGAACCAAGACCUGAAUUACACUUCAAAAAUUGACUAAGAUAGAAUGUUAAUAAAUUGCUCUAACUAGAUCUUCUGGAAGGUAAGAAGUCUGGCAAGCCAAAUUGAAUAGAGAUAAAGCAAAGUGGCUAUCACCUUAUUUGUGAACAGGCUGUUGUAAAUAAGCCGCAACACAUUUAUGUUUUAUUCCCCCAAAAUGUGACAUCCAAUCUUAGGAAAUGUGGGUUGGUGCUUGGUCCCAAACUCUAAUUGGAAACAGUCAUUAUUUAUGGAUAAGUGUGGAAGAGGAGGCCAAAAAUGACAAGUAAGCACUGACCCCCAGAAGGAUGGGCAAUAAUAAAGUAUUUAGAAAAAUACCAUCCAAAAUUAAAACUGUCUAUAGGAGACUUCCCACCUUUAUGGAGGUGGUAGACUGAAUGCCAGUGCUUUCCAUGGUUCCUGAUUUUCUCCUCUGUGGGAAUCUUUGUCAAUGUUUGGGGAAAGAUACAUGCAUCAGGGUUUGGUCAGAAGCAGAAACACUGGGUGAUAUACAAUGAGGAGUUUAUUCUAGGGAUCAGACAACUGUGGGAUCUAGUGAAGAAAUCAGUGGGAGUGUGUUGCCUCUGUGUUUGAUGAUGGGCUGAGUUCUCUGGUGGUCAGCAGAGCUACCAGGGAGAAAAGCUGGGCACGAAGUGUAGGAGAGCAAGGAAGAACCGCAAUUAGGAGGAAAAAGUAGAACACACAUUUCCCUCUUCUGACUUCCAUGACGUGGCUGACUUUGAAUAAAGAUCUAGUGCCCUUUGCCAUGGAGCUGAACAUGUACCUGGCCCAGGACUUGCAAAGCUGAAGGAGGAGACCUGGAGAGAGCUUCAGGAGCUGCAGUCACAGCUGCUGCCCUAAGUUAAGGUGAGCUACCAGGUCAGUGACAAUGUGUGCUCGCUGCAAUAGUGCUCAGUGCCCUCUUCAGAGUAUAAUAGUGGCUGCUUCACUUCUGCCUUCCAAACCUUAUGUAAAUUUUUCUUCAGGUUAACCUUAACCCCGUGUAAAACAGGAACAGGAAAGGGAAUUCUAUGAAAUAUAGUUUCUGAUUUAGCUAAUUUGAUACGGGACAAAACCACCAUAGGCUACCAUUGCCAACUUGACAUCCAUCUACACUUCUUUUAACCAUACAUAACUUACAGACAAAGACCUUAGAAAAUGACGUUUCCACCUAAUAAGAUGCAACUAUCACUUCUAUAGUUGAAAAUACACUAACUUUCCAUGUGCUACUUUAUCUAUUCUGGGGUGAUGUUCAUUCCUCUUCUGGUUAAGAUCCACUCUCCCUUUCAUAUCCUAUACUUUAAAUACUGAGAUAUGAGGAUGCUAUAGAUUGAACUGUGUUUGCCAAAAAGCUGUAUUUUCAAAGUUUUAAACCCCAGACCUUGUGAAAGUGAUCUUAUUUGGAAAUAGGGUCUUUGCAGAUGUAAUCAAGUUUUUAAAAGGUCAUAUUGGAUUAGAGUGGGCCCUAAACCAAUUACUGGUGUCCUUAAAGGAAUGAACGCCCUAUGAUGAUAGAGGCAGAGAUUGGAGUGAUGCAUCUACAAGCCAAGGAACACCAAAGUUUGCUGGAUAUCACCAGAAGCUAGGAGAGAGGAAUGGAACAGAUUCUCCCUCAGAGACUUCAAAAGGAACUAACCAUGAUGACACCUUGAUUUUGGAUUUCCAGCCUCUAGACUGUAAGAUAAAUUUCUGUAGUUUUAAGCCAUGCAGUUUGUGGGACUUUGAUAUGGCAGCCCAAGCAAAUGAAUGCAAAGGAUAACUACCUUAACCAUAUUUUAUAUUAGAUGGUAGAAAGAGGAGAAAAAAAGAAUUGGUUGAUAUAUCACCAAAUAUAUUUAUAUCAAAGUAUGGAAUAUUCAUAACUCUUACCGUCCUAAUUCCUACAACUGAUUAUGUGGUCACAGCAGAUGUUUUUAACUUCUUUCCAUUCUAUAUACCCUUUGUCCUCAGCAAGCACUUCACCUGGUUAUUGUUCCUUGCCUGUUGAGGUGACCUAAGUCUUCAUUUUUGAAGGAUCUGAACCUUUGGCAGUCUGCCUACAUUGGGUUGUUUUCCAUUUACUUUUGUUAUAAGACAUGAGAGUUUCAGAGGUGCCCUUUGUCUCCUUACUCGUAUAGUCUAGUAAUAAUCCAGUUUCCCCUUGAUAGUCACAGUCAUCCCAGCCAGUAUAGUAACCCCAUUCUUUGCCUGUUGGUUCUUUAGCAUGAGGAGCCCAAAGUGGCCAGUAGGCAGCAUCACCUUCCAGUUUAAUGGAGCCAUUGUUGGAUCUCCUAGCAGAGCACCUCUCCCUUGGGAACUAAGCCUUCUAGGCCAGCAGAAUCCAAAGUUGCAGGCUAGGAAGAACAAAUUUUGCAAGGGGAUCACGAGGGGUAACAGUGACAGGACAUUUUCCCAUUUCAACUCCUUGAUUUCUGGACCUGUGAAUCCUGGAUAAAGGAGAAACAGUAACAUAUAUUGGUUAAUGAUUUAGAGAAUUUACUGCAUUUUGAAAGACAUUACCCUAGCCCUGCAAAGUGUUUCCAUUCAUCUAGCACAGUAACUGAAUUGUCAAAAGAACCAUUCCACUGCUUCAGAGUGAUGGAUAAGAUGGUAAAACUAGUGAAUUACGUGAUCAUGAUCCCGUUGCUACACUUCAUUUGUCGCAAAAUAAGUUUCUUGGUUAGAAGCAAAGCAUUGUGGAAUACCAUGAUGGGGAAUAAGACAUAAGAAUUCUAUAAGUCUGCCAAUACUUAUUUUGGAAAAAGUAUUGCAGACAGGGAAGGCAAAUCCACAUGAAGCGUAAGUUUCUAUGGAGUGAGAACAAAACAUUGCCCUUUCCGUGAUAGAAGUGGCCUAAUGUAAUUAACUUACCAUCAGAUAGGUGGCUGAUUCUCUGGGAAUGGUGCUAUUUCAGGGGCUCAGUGUUGGGCUCUGCUUUGGUUGGGUUGGACACUAAGCGGUGGCUACAGCCAGAUUAGACAUGGUGAGCGAAAAUUCACAUUGCUGAGCCCAUGUAUACGCUCCAUCUCUGCCACCACAGCUACUUGGUUCAUGAUCCCAUUGGUCAAGAAUAGGAGUGACUGGAGAAAGAGACCUGACGGAGGUGUCAUCUUGACAAUUAUUAAGAUCUUUCUUUGCUGAGGUGGAGCUUUGUCGAGCAUUCACGUGGGACAUUGUGUAUCCAUUCAGGGAGUUCUGUCCAUUUACUUCUUCCCCAGACUUUCUUGUCACCAAUUUUCCAAUCAUGUUUCUUCUAAGUCUCCAAUGUAGAAUAUGAAAUUCAGAAUUAUCAUCCCAAGGAGUAGGGGGUCUAGGGAAUUUAUUCAUCAACUCCCGCUAGUCAUUCGAUGAAGGCUAAUUGAGUGCAGGAGGGACCAUCAUCCCUGACACUUCUAGUCUUAGAGGGCAGGCAGAGUGGCCAGAGAAAGUUCUCAGGCAAAGAAUCACAGUUCCUGGCACUUCAAGACAGGUUGGCUUGUUUUGGAAAUGGUAAAUAACACGGCAUAAGGCAGAGCACUAUAGGCUUCAUAACUGGUGGAGCAGACCAAUGGUUCCUUGGGGUCCUUUGCCCUUUUGACCAACUACUUAGUCCCAGUGAAAAUAGACAUAUUCAGAGAAGAACAGAAAGACUUCCGACAUUAGGUCAGAAAUCCAGAAUGUCUACUUGUUUUCUGUCCUGUUCCAUUCCUUGACAUUAUUUUACUAAUUAGACUCUACAUCCUUCAUUCUUCUAUUUCUCGUCUCAUUUUCUGUCAGGCAAAGAGACAUUUAGUUUGCCCUAUAGCAUCCAGUUCUAUGUCUUCACUAGAGUAAGAACUCAAUAUUUUAUUCCUGACUGAUCAGAAUAUUUUUAUCCCAUUGGUUUUUGCCAUCUAAAACAGUUGUCAGCUCACAAAAUUCCAGAAUAUUCAAAAAUAAGCUUUCAUGAACUGGGUGAGCCAUUGUAUUUACGUGAGAUGAUAUUAAAAAGCUAUCCUCUAUCUCAUGAAGUUGUCGUGGCAGACAGUACCCCAAAGAUCUAUUUUUCUGUCUUUAGCUAACUUAAACCUCUCUUUCCUUGUUUUGGAUGGUAGGGAGAAAAUUGCUGGUUGGAAGUGAUAGGAAGAACAAUGUCAGGAUCAAUGAUAGCAUCACAGCAAAAUAAUUAUUGUUAUAAUUGUAAUGCUUUGCAUUUAAAUUGCACUUUUAUCCAAAAGUCUCACAACACUUUUCUGAAUAUCUCUUUUGAAUUCAAAAGCAUUUACUGAAGAAGGCAGAGCAAAAUAUAAUUAUAUUACAAUUUUACUCUGAAAUGUAAUUCAAUUCAUACAAAGUGGAUUUUGGAAAUUGAAUUAUUGACAUACAUAUGAAAAAUUUUGUGGUGUAUUUUUGACAAAGGAAGUCCCAGCGUAUGGGUCUUUGAGGAGAGGAUGAAAAAUAGGUGCUAACACGUUUCCAAGCAAUGGACAGCGAAAUAGAAUAAAACUGUCAGGAAGCAGAUUGAGAUGAAAAACAAAAACCAAAGUCUCCCUACUCCUGGCCCAAAACUCUUGCUAGAGGGCUUUUAAAUGACAUGGCCCCAGGACUCCAAUAAAAGAUGAAAUCUUUUCUUCCUGGAAUAGCAAGACAUUUCUUAGAAGACGGUAGGCAUACAGAAAGAAUUAGACUCAAAGUAUCUAAGAUAGAGAGCAGGCAAGAGGUGAGCAGGAGGGGAAGGAACAGCUUACAGAGGUUCUGUCCUUCAGCCUUUGGACCCCUGCGGAGAUACAAAUGGACUUUGGGGUGUCUAUGAACCCUUAGAAACCACAUGUAGAUUGUGUAUGUGUUUGAACACAUUCAUUGUGAUGAGGGUGUCUCUACCUUACAUGAGAUUUUCCAACAGUCUCUUAACUAUGAGUUAUAAUCUCGUAUAACCUCUCUCUGCCAGCCUAGAGAGAUGCCCUGAAGACGUGGAUCUGACAUUGCUCUUAAAAGUAACCCCCAAAUUUCACUAGCUUAUGCACUGUUUGGACCUUGCCUACUUCUCCAGCCUCAGCUGAAAGGCAGCAGAAAGUAGUGAUAACAAGGCAGAUUCUAGAGAAAGAUUGCCUAGAUUCAGCUCUAUACUUACCAGCUGACAGUUAUAUGACCUGGAGCAAGUUACUUGGGACUUAUCCCAUCUGCAGCUCUGAUUCCUCAUGUUUAAAAUGGGGGUAAUAAUAAUAGCAUAUAACUUGGCUGGUUUGGGAGCACACUAACCUCCACCACAUUUAUCUUCUCCCAUUUCUUCAAACACCAUGUUCCUUCUCACCUCAGGGGCUUUGCACAAGCUUUUCCUUCUGCCUGGAAAGUUUUGCUUUUUGUGUGUGUGUGUGAGGAAGAUUGGCCCUGAGCUAACAUCUGUGCCUAUUUUCCUCUAUUUUAUAUGUGGGACGCCGCCACAGCAUGGCUUGAUGAGUGGUGCAUAGGUCCACAUCUGGGAUCCGAACCCGCGAACCCUGAGCCACCGAAGCAGAGUGCGUGAACUCUACCACUACACCACCAGGCCAGCCCCAACCUGGAAAGCAUUUUUGCCCCAUUUCUUUCCCUAGCUGAUCUCACAGGUCUCAGCUUAAACUUCACUUCAUAAGGCAAUUUCUGACCACCAUAACUUGGUUCAGCCCCUCUCUGUUAUGUUCUAUAUGACCCAGUGGAGUGCUGGAAUUGGCUCACACUGGCUGAUGGGAGCUGACUAUUAAAUUUUAUGGAAUUUUCUAAGCUGGCAACUGCUGCCAGCUUGAAGUCAACCAUGGUGGAAGUAUUUACUCCAUGGAAAUAGGCAAAUUUUACAUAUCAGGACUUUUUUUUUUCCUAAGCUGGUUUAACAAUAACUACUGUAUGUAAGAUCCUGUACAUUUUCUUUGUCACAAUUUUAAUUAUGCAAUGAUUUCUCUGAUUGUGUGUUUACAGUCAGCCUCCCUCACUCAGCUGUAGGCUCCAUGAGGCAGGAACUAUGUCUGUAUGUUCAAUGCUAUCCUUACACUACCUAAUAAAAAAUGUGACCCCAGCCCUUAACUCCUUUAAAGAAGCAGAUCAACAAAGGCAAUCUGGCAAAUGGUUCCCAUUCUGCUUCCUUAGGGAAGAAAAGAAUUAAGGAAGAAGAACCAAUGUUGACAUUCCUCUUCCAAUACUCCCCUCCAUGUGUCAUGGGAUAGCUGGAGUGUCAUACAUAAUGUAGUUCUUGGUACGGGGCCAUGAGAAGCUCCUGACAAUGGCAGGACUUUAGUGACCAUGUGGGGUGAAAAGUAGCACAUGUCCACCACUCAGGUUUGGAGAAAUGCAGCCUCUCAGUUAUUAUAACCAUCCUUCUUGGUAAUCUGGAUAGCCUUAGAACUCUCAGAGAUGCCUCUAUGUGUGUGCCUCUUUGCUGCCCACCCCAGUAGUUUCAGGUGGAGCUAAGGGGUUGCAAAUUGCCUGUGGAAUAGUGCUCCAGGAUGGUGCUGUGUCUGCUACCUCUUGGUGGUUUACAGCUAAAAGAGGGUGUCACAUGGGUGGUUUUGAUUGCCUGAAGACUAUGAAUUGGGAAACUCUAAAGAACUCAAAAAAGAUAGUGCAACUAGCUUAUCAGAGAUGGAGAAAUUGGGCCAGACUCACCAGAUGGGCUGCUGUAGCCUAAUCCUCUCCUAUUUGAGGCAGUUGACCUCUGCUGAGACCAGCUUCCACCAAAAAUUGACUCCUGUGGAUCUGCACAGGAUGGAGUGUUGCUCGCUACCAGGCAGAGGAUUCACAGGGCUUUGGCCAACUUGUCAGGAAGGAAAAUGGGUUCAGUGGAGACAAGGUAUACAGCUGGGGGAACACACCAAGCCAUUUCUCCAUCUUGAGGAUGUCAGUCACUGAGCUGUAGAUAAGUAGAGAAUGAGCCCCUAUAAUAUCUAGUAACCACCAACACAACUGAGCAUCCUGAAUCAGUUAGGAGAGUGGUGCUCCCAAUCUAGAAUCACUGAACCCUCAUGCCUUAUCAGGCUUGAUGGAUGGACAGGACUCAGCCCAGAACCUUAGGACCAUCAAAGGCAUGUGAUUCAAGGCAAUGCCCAGAGGUCAAGUUGUAGACAAUCAAGGGCUUCCAGACUGGAUGUCUCAUGAGCUGAGUUUACCCAGAUACCAUCCUGAGAAGGUGUAAAAUUUUCUGAUUGUCAGGUAUUAGGAGAUACAAACAAACAAACAAACACAUAGGCAUUGCAGCAGUCAAAUGACCUCAGAGCCUCCUCAACUCGUUGAGCUUAUCUGGAAAGCCCACUUGUAUCCUCUCCCCUCCCAGAUACAAGGCAGUAAGUCUCCUGGAGUUCAUUGCUCAAGCUUUAAUGUGCAUACCAGUGUUCUGGGUACCCUGUUAAAAAGCAGGAUCUGGUUCGCUAGAGGAGAGAUGAAGCCCAAGACUCUGCAUUUCCAUCACACUUUCAGAGGUUCCAAAGCUGCUGAUCCAAAGACCAUACUUUGAGGAGCAGGCCUCAGAGGACACCUUCCGCAAAGAGAUGUUGGCUUCCUUUGCUGCUUGGAUGGCUGGAUGAAUGAGUGAAAGAAGAAAGAAGGGGCUAGAGGAUGAGUGAAUAGCUGAAUAACCGUGUAGAUGGAGGACUUAUCAGUUACUCUCAACUCUUCCAUUCUCUCAGCUUAACAUCCUGAAUUCCAUCAGCUAUGAUUGGUAUUGAUCUCCUGAGGUUGUGAAUAGCCUCCCCAGCAAAGUGGGCCUUCUGUAACACUGGUGAUGUAAAUUCCAGUACUGCCUGAAUGUUGCCUUUCUCAAAACAUGACCCUCCUUGACCAGACCCAUCUGUGGCUUCCUGUGAUGCCUAAGAUUUUAUUGUCAGGACAUUUCAACAGGGACCUAUUAAAGUGCAAAUUCCCAUGGGAGGAGCUGUAUAUUUAUUCAUUUUUGGUCAUUGAUCUCCUCAGCAUUUCGCCUCCACAAAUACUGAAGGAGUGUAUUAGUGUCCUGUGGCUGCUGCAACAAUCUUGCUGGCUUAAAGCAACAGAAAUGUGUUCUCUCACAGUUCUGGAGGCUAGAAAUCCAAAGUCAAGGUCUCAAAGGGGCCUCACAACCUUGAAAGUCUCUUAGAGAAAAUCCAUCCUCUGCCUCUUCCAGGUUCCAGUGGCUGCCAGCAUUCCUCGGCUCUCUCACUCCUUGGUCUUCUCAUCACCUUCUCCUCUGUAUGUCCCUAAUCUCCCUCUACCUCUCUCUUAUAAAAACACUUGUGAUGGCAUUUAGACCCACCUGGACAAUCCAGAAUAAUCUCUUCAUCUCAAGAGCCUUAAUUUAAACGCAUCUGCAAACACUUUAGUAUUGGGAGAUUAGGGCCUAAGAUUUUUGAGUGGAGAGGGGCACCCUUCAACUCACUAUAAGGAGCAACCUCUGAGAAGAGACAACCACACAGUUUCCCUCCAGGAGUUUAGUCCCAGAAUUUCUGAAGAGAAUGAACAAUUCAGUGCUUUGGAAAUUACAUCCUAGGUUUACCAAAGCUCCAGAAAGAAUGUGGUAUGGGAAAUAAAGCCAGGAGUUAGACGGACUUGACAGGAUAGAAUUAGUGCUUCCAGGAUAUCUCAUUGGACUAUAGAUUGGAAGGUAUGCUGCAAAAAUCGUAAAUACUGAUGAAAGUUAAGGAAUCUUUGGGCAAAUUUCAGGCCCUAGGUAUCUCUGAGCUGUGGAUGGGAAGUAGCCCACCAGAGGCAACCUAAAGGCCCUGAGUAGAGGAUGACACUCCACAUGGUGACUGAAAGUCUGUGUGGGGCUGUAUGGGGCUGAUUAAGCAAAAGAAAAUUACCUGUGUUGAUUGAAUUACCUCAAAGUUUAAAUUGGUCUGUUUACCAAGGUGAUUAUGAGCUGUAAUAUCAGGUAAGAUAGACCAGAAUUCAAAUCCUAUCAGUUUGCAUGACUUAUGUCAAGUGACUUGGGUUUUCUGACUCCAUUACUACCAAGUUACUACUUUGGACUUACUACAGAGACUAAGGUGAUGUGUGUAACAUAGCUUGUAGAGUGCAAAAUAUUAUGUGAUAGAUAUACAACAGAUGUUGCUUUCCCCUGACUUUGAAUAUUGUGUCUCCAUAAAGACCCUUAUACAUGUGAGUCUAAAUUGUGGUAUUAGGAAAUUUGAUCUAGUCAUGCUGAGGUGUACCUUUCAAAAUUGCAUUUUAGGAGGUCUUAUGCUGACCAAUAAGAAAAAAAACUCACUUUAUCCAUAUGCCUCCUGAUAUGAUGUAUUGAGAAGGACACAACAUCUACUGUGUUUUACCUGCUAAAAAUGUAUAAUAUAUGAAAAUAUCAAACGAACCCAAAUUGCAGUAUGUUUUCCAAAAUAGUCAUCCUAUAUGUUUCAAAUAUAUUAAGUCAUAAAGACAAAGAAAAGCUGAGAAACUCUUUCUGAUUCAAGCCAACUAAAGAAAUAUGAUAACUAAAUGCACUGUGUAAUCCUGGAUUAGAUUCUUUACUUGGAAAAAAUAGCAAUAAGAGACAUUUUGGGGACAGUUGACAGAAUUUGAAUAUGGACUAUGUACAAGAUAACAGUUUUUUAGCAAUGUUAAUUUUAAAAAAUGUUGAUAAUUGCAUUGUGAUUAUGUGUGAAUGUUCUGAGGAAAUGCACAUGGACAUAUUUAGGGGUAAAGGGGCAUGAUAUAUGAAGUUGACUCUCAAAUGGUUCAUAAAAUAAUACAUGUGUAUAUAAUGUGUAUAACUAUAUAAUGUAUAUAUUAUUGCACAAGAUUAUGUUAGGAGUUGUGGAGGGUGGUGUCUUGUCCUGUGAUUCUCUUGGUCUUCAUCCCCUUGGCACACCCUAAUUGACAGUCUUCACCUGGACCUCCUCCUUUUGAGCUUAGGAAACAUGCUCCUUCUAGGCCUGUGGCUUCACUCUAAGCCUUAGCUGAGAGGUCUUAUACCUCCAUUCCACUCUCCUAAGAAGAGAAAGAGAAUACAUAGAGAAUAGUGUUAUCUCAUCACACUUGGGCUGUACUGAUUGCCUCUAAAAGGAAGAGUACUCCUGGGAAAGGCUUGGGGCCAUGCCUGCAACUUAGUUGGGUAUGCAGGUGCACGUACCAGACUCUAGGUCAGGAUUUGAUAAGUUUCCAAAAGGAUGAUCAUUGCCGGGGACCCUGAUACCAGUAUUCAUGGUCUGGUCCCUGAUUUUCCCUCCUUUCCUGAUUCAUCUCUUGUCCUCACCCCCUUGGGUCCUUUUCUGCUCCAUUCAUACUCAUCAGAGUCCACCUCUUACUGGCAUGGAGUUCUUUGGCUUUAUCCAAGCCUCUCCCUUCAGUUGGAACAUUCCUCUCUAGUCUCUCCUUGCCUUUCAGCUUUCAAUUUAGAUGUCUCUUUCUCCUGGAAGUCUUCUCUGAUAUUCCAAAAUCUGUAUUAUAUGUACCUCUAAUAGCUCCUCAUUGCAUUCUGUGCUUCUCCUGUCAUAGCCUUAUCACUCUGCUUUGUAAUCACCUCUUUGCUCGUCUAUAUCCCCAACCAACUACAAUAUCUGUGAGGCUUGUUUGUGGGUUAUCCUUCGUGCUAGGCACAUUUCCUUACAUGUAGUACAUUGUCCCUAAAUAUGUGUUGAAUAAAUUCAAUAAUUAGACUACACUACUGUAACCCUGAAGAUAAGGGUUUCUUUUUGUUGUUGUUUGUUUGUUUAUCCUCCUUAAAGUCGCCAGUCACUACUAACAGAGAUUUUAUCACUUAUUUUCAGGAGAUUUGGGGGUAAUUCAUCCAAAAAAGAUGCAUUAACAGGGUGCUAUAAAAUCAAGACCAAGAGGAGCCUGAUUCUAAGCCCACUUGUCUCCAAAUGCUGGUCCGUAAUUGGAGCCAGGAUCUUCUGGAUAGAUUUUUAAUUACAUAUAUCACAGAGUCCAUCUCUAGAAAUUCUGAUUGAGUUAAGUUGGAUGGGGCCCAGGACCCUGCAUUUAAAAGGUUCCACAGGUGAUCCUGCUGCACAGCUAGAGUUAAAAAAUCACUAGAGAAACCCUCCAUCUCACUCAUAAGACACCCCAGGUGAAAUGACACGCUCAAGGCCACACAGCUGGAAGUGCCAGUGAGAAGCAGUAUUCAGGAUUCUAAUCCUCAUCUAAUCCCCAGAAGGUCUUUCCAUUGCCUCAUUUCCUCUGCUUGAAAUUCCUCCCCCAAAUGGAGCGGGCUUGUUUUUCACGUCUCAUCUGACCACACAGGUGCGUGUUUGAAUAUAGGUGAUUUUAUUCCUUGCUGAAAUUGUUGCAUUUCAUUGCUGAGUAAUAGGAUAUCUCAGGGUCAUUUUUAUUAAAAAUGUAAAUACAUGUCCCCAUUCAUUCAUGGUAAUUCUCUCAAAUCAGCAGUUGACUUAUUUGGCACUUUUUCCACAGUACAAAAGUCAUGGGUUAUAGUAAUAUCAGAUUCCUUUUACAGAGUGCAUCUUAUUCUAAAAUGCAUUAAAAUUACCCUGAGCCUCUCAAAUGUUAAAUUACAGAUGAGGAAACUGAAGCCUAGAAAAGGAAAUGACUAGCUUAAGGUUAUGGAGCCAAGACUAAGUCUUUUCAUUACCAAGCCAAUAUUCUUGCAGAAAAAAAUGGUAAUUACUUGCUGCACCUAUUAUGGCCCUCAUCCAAGGAACUGAAGGUAUUUCAAACCCCUAAGUUACAAAUAUGACAAAUUCCUUACAAGGAAGCUCAGGAAAGAGCAGUGAGUUAUCAACUUUGUAUUCCAGAUCCCCAUGGAUUAUACAACCAAGGCUUCCUCCUUCCUUUGACUUCAGAUCUACAUUGAGAGUUGUAGCAAGUAAUCAACACUGUAGUCUCAGCAUGCUUAUUUCCCCCCAAUCGUGUAUUUAUUCAGCUUUUAUCGGGAUCUUACCAUGGGUUACAUACUAUUCUAGUCUUUGGG